rnacentral:lncRNA from 1 species
AAUAAUAAUAAUAAUAAUAAACUAUUGCUUCGAGUCUUCCAUGGAGCAAACGAAUGGAAUUAAUUCACAAUCCCAUAUAAUUGCAAAUGCGUUCCACUUCAUUAAAUAACAUAGAAGGAUACAUACGGAUGGGAUCAACAUUCAACAGACAAUGGGCUCGAAUUAAUUUCACUGAGAAAGAGUAAUUAAAGAGAAAAAACAUAAGGGAAAAGGGAGCAAGCACAAGUACACAAAGGAAAAGGCAACACCCGCAAUCAAUUAAAAGUUCUACUAAGUUCUGUAAAAUUUUUGGCAACCUCUAUUUUGUUUUGGAUCACAUUUCGGCGCAGGUGAUGGUGGAGGGAGGUUGUCAGCAUAGGCAGUACCCUUAGGACCAGACACAGCUGGACUAUCAGGAUUUUCAGAGCCCGGAGUUACAAAAGAGAUAGGCGCAAGCAUUCUGCUGAUUUCCGAGCCCAUGAAGAGGUCGAAAUCAAGGUCCAUCGUGAGGCAUUCAUCGACGGAGCCAUUGCACCAGGAGGUGGUGCUGUUGACCUUCAGGGAAGCUGCUCCACAACAAUUUAUGUUGAGGAGUAUCAUAACGAGGAAUGCUACACAAAAACCUCUCUUCCUGUCAACUCCCAUUCUUACUCUCUACUCUUCUUUCCUCACAACUCAGCCCCCCUCAGGAAUUCUUGCAUACAACACUCUCUGCGCCAUCACAUACAAUUAUGUAUAUGCAUUUAGUCCCAGGGGAAAGGCACCAAAGAGAAAGAUAAAUGUGAAGGACCUAAAUGUCCUUCACUCCCACUGGGGGCAAUGUUUGAUUUAUGUUUUUAUUUUAGUCGUGCUAAACUUUACAAGUAAGUCAGACUGCUUUUGCUUUUGCUUUUGCUUUUUCCUAAUUUUCACUUUUGUUUUUAUUCUUCAAAGCAAUGUUGGUACAAUAAUGUAACAUUUAACUAAAUAUAAGACGUGCUGUCGAGAUGGUCAUCAGCUCACUAAUCACUACCUGUACAUUAUGGUGGUACAUGGAAAAGUGGUAGACCUCGAAUUCUUUAGUUAGAAGAGAAUGAAGUUAAACACUUCAAUACAAUUACAUCUACCAAUUGGUUUUGAUUUAACUACAUCUGAUGAUUUUAAGAAAUAUUUUUAAAUUAAAAAAUAUUUAAAAUCGUUUAGGUAUUUAAUAAAAUUUAAAAAAUAUUUUUAAAAUUUAAAAAAUAACUUAUAAUAUUUUUUAACUCCAUGACAACCUGCCUUUUUCUUACAUAAAAUUCAAAACCUUAAUAUCGUAACAAUUUACUUUAAAAUUUCAAGGCUUUUACAUUAUGAAAAAUUGGUCUAAAAUGAUUAUUUUUUUGGCUCUAUGUUUAAUUAACAAUAUGAAAGGUAUAUGAAAUCAUAAAUUCUUUGUUCUUCUAUAUUCUUUUCCAUUUUUCUAUUUUUCUUUACAUUUUUUCACCUUAUUAAAUAAAUAAAUAAAUCAUUAAAAAAGUUUUUUUUUGGAAAAAGGAAAAAUAAAAUAAUUUAAAAUAAUAUCAAAAUAAAUUCAAUUUAACAUAACCUUAUAUGCAUAUAUAUAACUUUUUAAUAUUUAAUUUAUAAUAUAAUUAAACAUAUAUUAUAUAUUUAAUAAUAAAAUGAAUAUUUUAUUUAUAAAAUUUUAAAUAUUUUAAUUAAUAAAGGAAAAAUAUUCAUUCUGCAAUUUUAUUUUAUUUUAAUUGUGGAGAUGAUUAAUUAGCUGGCUAGUUAAAGUAACACAAAAGAAAUAGCACCCUUUUCGAUGUUGGAGAGAAGACCAGUGGAAAUGUUCCACCCUGCUAUGUUGAAGAUUGAGAUCAUUUGAUGUCUCCCACUUGCUUUAUUUUAAUAAUAAAGUAUUGUUAUUAUUUUAUUCCACCAGUACUGAACUUGGAUGGGAUUAAAGACUUGGCAAUGUUUGGCUUUCAGAAAAUUCGGGGGAAUAUGUAAGAAAAAAAAGUAAUAAAAAUAAAAAUAAAAAUGAAAAAAAAGAAUAAAUUUAAAUUUAAUAAAUUAUUUUUAUAUGUUAUUUUAAAUUUAAUUAACAUAUUUUUUAUUAUUAAAUAAUUUUAAAAUGAACAAAUUCUUAACUAAUUUUAAUUAUAUUUUAUUUUUUAUAUUUAUUAUAGUAAAAUUAAACAUAAAAAAUUCACUUUUUAUGGUAAUUUUUCACAUCUUAAUUCUUUUGGAAACCAAACAUAAUAAUUCAAAAAAGGAAAGUAAAAAAGGAGACAUGAUUUCUAAAUAGAAAAUAUGGGACCUUCAUGAAACCAAUUGUGCAAUGAAAAUGACACUGUUGAUACGUAUAAUCUACAUAAGUUAAGUAUUUUGUGUGGAUAAUGUUUUUUUUUUUAAAAAAAUGAUUUAUAGUAACCAACUAUAAAAUAAAAGAAUUUUUUAAAGAUGAUAAUAACUUUUAAAAAUUAUUUAAAAAAUUAAGGUAUUGAAAAAAUUUUAUUAUCUUAAACUUUAAAAAGUUAGGGUAUCAAAAAUUUUAACUAUCUUAAAUUUUAAAAAAUUCUAAAAAUAAUCUUUAAUAUAACAAGGUAAAACUAUAUUUUUCAUGUAAAAAUUAUUUAUUUUAUAUAAAAUUUAUUUUUAUUUUUUAUUUUUCAAAAAUAAAAAAUAGGAAAUGUAUUAAAAGAAGCAUUAAAUCUAUGACUUUUUUUGUCAUUUACCUUUUUGAUAUUAUUAAUUGUAUUUUAAACGAAGAUAUGAAAGAUGAAUUAUCAAAUUAUAUGAAAGAAAAACUAAAGCUUCAUUUGACAAUUAUUUUUAAGAAUAAUUUGUUGUUUAGAAAAAAAAAUAGGAAAGCAUGUUUGAUAAUUAAAAAAAUUAUUUUUUAUUUUUAAAAAUAAAAAAUAUGAUGUUUUUAGAUAACACCUUUAAAAUGUUUUUAUUUGUUUUUAUUUAUUUUUUAAGAAAUAUUUUAAAAAAUAACUAUGCAAAUUGGUAAAAUGAUUAAAAAUAAAACAUUAGAUAUAAAAAAUAUUUUUAAAGCAUAUUAAAAAAUGUUAAAAAUAUGUUAAAAACUUUUUAAGUUCUGAAUAGAUUUUUGUUUUACAAAAACAUUCAAGGAGAAUUUUUAAAAAUUAUUCUUAAAACCUAUUUUUUAAAAUAAUUACCAAAAAAGGCCUAAAAUUCUGAUAUUAUUAAUGAAAGAACCAAUUUUUCACUUUUAUUUUUAUUUUUAAUAUAAAGCACAAACAUACUAAUAAAUUUAAAAUGGAAUUAAUUUCAUUUCCUAUUCUACAAUUCUAGAUAUCUCUUUGUCUUUACACCGGAAGAAAGAAAACAAAAAUAAAUCGAUCCUUUCUUUUUAUGUUGCCGUGGAGCAAUUGAAUGAUCACCGGAGUGGUUUGAUUGGUAAGUACCUUACCAAGAGAGUGAGGUAAUCAAGGGUAAAGCAGUAGUUAAUUAUUUAAAUAUUUGUUUUCCUAAAAUAAUAGGAAAUAAAUCAAUUAAUUUUAAUCAUUAUAAUCAUUAGGAUAAUUUAAUUAAAACUUUUGCAAAUGUUUAAGAGAAAGUUCAUAAUUGCUCAACAUUUACUUAAACAAGCUAAUGUGCACUGUUACAAGUAAUGUUUUCAAAAUCGAACCGAUCAUUAAAUCAAAAAAAUUAUCGAUUCACGAUUCAUUAAUCAAAUCGAUCGAAGAAGGUCGAACUGUUGACGUUAUAAAUAUAUAAUUUACAUAUUAUUAAAAUUAAAAAUAAUUAUAAAUUUAAAGAUAAUAUAAUUUAUAUAUUAUUUAAAAAUUAAAAUUUUACUUGAAAAUCAUAAAAUUAUUAAAAAAAUCAAAAAACUAGUUUCGAAGUUUAAAUUAAAAUUUAUUUUUAAAUCAAAAACUUAUUUUAAAAUAAAAAAUUUAUUUAAAAUUAUAUUUAAAUUUAAAUCACAAAUUUUAAAAAUCAUAAAAUUUAAAAAUAAUAAAUAUAAAAUAAAAUAAAUAAUAAUGAAUUUUUAAAAAUAAAAAUAAAAUUCUGGAAAGGAAUGGGGAAGACCGGAAGAGGCGACACUGGAAAUGGGAGGUGGGGGGUUGGUGGUGGCGGUGGCGCAGUCCUGGGGGCCGGGGGGUUGGGAGGCGGCAAGGGUGGGGCGGAAAAGACUGGUUUGCUGGAAGGGGGGUGGGCUCGUCGGCAGCAGGCUGCCCGGCGGCAGGCAUGGGAGCUGGGGCGGCCGUAGAGAGGGGGUUGUGUUCGCAGGAAAACGACGUCUUUGAUGCUGUAAAAAGAAAAAAAAAAAAAAAAGUUGAACCCGGUCCGAUUCCGGUUCAACCAUAUUUCGGUCCAAUUCGUCUGACCGGACCAGAACCGCCACCAGCCGGUCCGGUCCAGUUUUUAAAACAUGGUAAGUGGUAACAAGUCACUAGUCAAUAAUUGCUCACAACUAGCAUCCCAAGGAGGAGCUAGCCAUACCCACGUCAUCAUUAUACAACAUGGUGUGGAAAUAUCAAAUAGGUACUGUGAAGCCCUCUUUUGUCCAUUCAGGCCUGACCAUAGGUGCACAAAAACUGAACAUAAAAUCAUCGGGUCCUAGUGCUUUCAUCUUUAUUCCAAAAGCAGCAGUGAGAUGAUGAAAUGACGCUAGCAUGCAUGAAGGCCACAUGUUAAUAUAUUGCCCCAUUUAUGCAUGAUUUAAUGUGCUUGUACAUGACAAAAGUAGCUAGAUUAUAUUAUUGUAGCACGCCUAAUUGGACUAUAAUUUGACUCUAGUUAAAAAAUUUCUUAGUUAUUUUCCUAUCGAUUGUGACAUCCCUCGAUAGAAUUACGGAACCCUCAUGGCCCCUCAACAAUCAACUGAUUUUAGUGGCAUGUUACCAGUAUAUUGGUGUUUGAUCUGCUUAGCUUGUGGCGAAGAUGGAACUUCAAUUAGCAGAAUAAAGCAAAAGAGAAAGGAAAAAAUGAAAAGAAAAAGGGGGAAAUUAAAAGCCAAUGGACUAGGAAGAGUGUGGCAAAAGUGUAACGCCCAAGUUUUUUUUUUAGGGGUAAUUUAGGAAAAUAUUAAUAAUAAUUUAAUUAAUUAAUCAAUUUAACAAAAUUGAAAGAGGGCUAAAACUGUAAUUUUAUGAAUAAAUACUCUAGGUAUAAAUUAGAAAUUCUGUUUUUUCUGUUCUUAUUUUAAUAGCAUUCCUGUUUACAGAAUUUCAAAUAAUGUAAGGUUGGAGUCGGAUUUUAGGAUUUGAAGAACAGAUCUUUAUAUGUAAUAUUCUAACCCCUAGAUUAAUAUUUUAGAUUCAUUAGUUAAUUUCAAGCACAUUAGAUAUUUUUUUUGGAAAACCCAAAUCUAGAUUAGGGUUAGUUUAUUUUUUUUAAAUCGUUUUAAUAUCAAAAUAAUGAAAAUUUAAUAUUUUGAUUUAUUGUUGGAAAUUGGGAAAUCUUAAGUUUUUAGAUGAAAAAAAAAAUCUUUGGAAGAUUUUGAUUUAGGCUAGGGUUAAUUUAUUUUUAAAAAAAGGAUUAAAUAAAUAUAUUGUUAAUUGUGGCUUAAGGGACUAGAAAAAAAAAACACGUGUGCACUGGUUGCAUGCGUGUGGGAACUGUGCAUCCACUCUUUGUAGCAUGAUGUGAGGAUUUUACGGGUGAAAUCUAGUCGAUAACUUUCACAUACUCUAUUAUUAGACUUAGCCAUUGGGACAUGUGUUGUCACUUUUUGUAGCAUUAUGUAAGGAUUUCAUGGUUGAAAUCUAGUUGGUGAAUUUUCAUAUACUUUAUUAUUAGACUUUGAUGGAUACUUGAGUAUGUAAUAUUUAAUAGUAGCAUGACUGUAUUAUUAGACUUUGAUGGAUAUUGUAUUAUUUAAUAAAGGAAAAUGUGUACGGAUGGUAUUGGGAUGGUUAAUAUAUAUAUAUAUAUAUAUAUUAGCAAUGAUGGAGAGUUGUUGUGUAUAGGCUAUGUUUGGUGGAAAAAAAAAACUUGAAAGUGAAAAAAUAUAAUUUAUAAAUAAAAGAAAGUAAAGUUUUUGAUAUUAUAAUUAUAUUAAUGAUGGGUGUAAGUUAAUAAAUAGCAUAGAAUUUAAUUAGUGAAAUAAAUUACAAUUUAAUUAAAUUAUGUUGUGUCCCAAGAAAUAAACUGAAAAUAAAAUUUAAGUUUUAUAUGAAUUAGAAAUUUAUUAAAUUUUCUAAAAUAGGAAUAGAUUAAAUUAUCUUUCAUAAUUAAAAAACGUUAAUUUGAAUACCUAAAAUUUUAGGAUUGUCAAACCUAUAAUUUUAAAUAAAUAAUAAUGAUUAUUUCUCUUAUAUUUUGUUAAGUGAAGAGUAGAUUUUCAGGAUUAUUUUUCUCCAAAGUUUUUGAGAACUUCUUUUGAGGUAAGGGAAAUUAAUGCAAUUAUUAUUUUUUUUUAGAAACAAAUUUUUAUAUACAUCAUUUGGAAACAUUUUGAGUUAUUAUUCAUUUUAUGCAUGGAUCAAAUAUAUUUUGCAUGAAAAGUAUGUUAGAACUUUAUAUUUUGUUUACAAUAGAGAAAUGUAGAGAUAUUAUGUUUUGCAAAUUUGAAUAAUUGAAAUAAGUGUUCGACUCUAGUUUGUUUGGCCCUUGUCAACGGGAUAUAAUAGUUGACCUUUACAUUUCUUGUUGGGAAAUGUAAUUGAUUUAGACCCCAGCCUCUAGGGUUUGGUUAGAGGUUACUAGUACUAGUAGUGCUUUGUUCCAUCCACCUUAAAAGAACAAUUUGAGGCUAGCUACCUAUUUGAAAAGUUUCACCUAACUAGGCAUCAUUUGAUGUUUGAUGAUCAGAGUAAAUAAAUGAUUUGAAUGUUUUGAUUGAAUUUGAUAUGAAAAUAUUUGAAUCGGAAAUGAAAGUGUACAGUUAAAAGUUUUGAAUGUAUUGGAAAAACUGAUUCAAAGGUUAUGAAAAUAAUUAGUUAUAAUAUCUCUUAUUUUGCAAGUGAACUUGAAAUAUUUGAUCAAUGGACUAUAUUAAUAUUCCUUAUUGGACUUUGAAUUCAUUCCUAUUUGUUGAUUAUUUUUCAGGUACCCUUAGUUCGGGUGAAGAGUGAUGGCUAGGUCAAGGAAUGGUCAUUAUUAGGAUUUUGCUUAGGAUGUUAUUUUUGGACAUUGUUAGCUUAUAAAUUUAUGUUCAUUUUGAUUAUUUUGUUUUUGGAAGCUAUUUAGAUUUGAACUUACAAAUUUUUUUAUGAUAGUUUGAAGUUGAGAUUUGGAGAUUAUGAAAAUUUGUUAGCACUUGAUUUGUUUGAGUUUGCAAUCUAUUUGGAUAAUGGAUUUUGGUUGAUGGAUGCUUAGUUUUAAAGUUAAGUUUGAAGAUUUUAGAAUUUGUUCCGCUACUCUGAACAGAUAUUUGGUGAUUGAUUACUUCCAGUUAUAAUAUGAUUGUUUGGGUCAAGUUAUACUUUAAACAUUCGGAUUUGAGAUGUGAAAUGACCGUCACACCCUUGGAGUGGAUCUUGGGGCGUGACACACAACAUCUCUUGGGCUUGGCUCUUUAAAGUCAUUAUGAUUUGUUUCUUCACAUUGUCAUAUGAGGUUGUCAUGUCUAUUUUUCACACCAAGGUCAUAUCAUUUCCACAGUUUCAAUAAAAAGCACAACUUCUUUUUCCUUUUUUUUUUUUUUUUUUUUUACAAAUACCCUCAAUUUAGCAUCAUUGUAUCAUAAUCACCCUAUCCAACCAUCACCUUUAGAAGUCGUCUCAAGUCAGCGGGCCCGUCCCAUACCAACUUUCAUUUGUCAACUUUGAAUGUUACCAUCAAUAAGGAAAAUAAUGGUAUGACUUUUCAAGGUUGCCCUACUUGAAAUGUCCUUUCCAAAAAUGAUGGUAUGAUUUUUCAAGACAAUCUUACAUGAAAUGUCCUCUACACCAAAAUUUGAAUAUGACAUUUUUUUAAUCUAUUUUCUUUUUCUUCUUGAAAUAUAAAAUUAUUAAUUACUUUUUUAUAACCGAAAGUUUUAAUGUAUUUAUUUGGUAGUAAAUUGCACAAUGUACUAACAAUUGAAACUUGUGGCCAAGAAGUACUCUUUCAAUGUAAAGGGUAAAUUUGUUAGAGAAAUAUAUAUUGCAUAUACGUGUGUAUUAUAAAUGAGUUUUAUCAAGUCAAUUAGAUGGAGGUUUGGCUUGAAAGACCCGAGUAAAUGAAAACUAGAUUAAUUUGUUUCUAAAAUAUCUUAUUUACUUGACUAGGUAAUUACUUGACUUAGUUAAUUACUUGAUUUGGUUAACUAUUAGAUAGAUGAGGUGAAGAUAUGAUGUCAAUUUUUAAGUAACAUGAUUGAGUUUAUAUGAAUAGAUUUACCCUGCUUCAAAGAAAAUCCAUCAUUGAAAAAGCUUUGAGAAAACAAAAACUCUAUCUAGUUAUUUUCUUAUUAUUAUCUUUAUUUCAAAUGAAAGAGUUUGAAAGCAAAGCAAUUAAAGAGUUUGAAGAAGAAUAGGAUUGAAGAGUUUGAAGAAGAAAAUGAUCUCAAACUUCAAUAAAGAUAAGAUUACAUGGUAACUUAACACGACCAUGUUUAUCUUUGUUGUAAAAUAGUAUAUUGCAAGUGAACUUUAUUAAUUUAUGAAAACUUUUUUCAAAAAUAAUUGAUGAUUGUUCAUGAAGGUUAUGGGUGUAUUUGUUGAAACACAAGAAUGAAGCAUUGGAUAGGUUCAAGACUUGGAAAAAUCUGAUUGAGAAUCCAACCAGAAAAAGAGUUAAACGUCUUAGAACAAAUAAUGGACUUGAAUAUUGCAAUGAAAAGUUUGAUGAUUAUUGCAAAAUUCAUGGCAUAGUUCGACAUAAGAUAGUGAGGAAAACCCCUCGUCAAAAUAACUUAGCUGAAAGAAUAAAUAGAACCCUUUUAGAAAGGAUUAGGUGCAUGUUAUCAAAUGCACAACUUCCUAAAGAGUUUUUAGGUUUAUGUUGUUCAUACAACUGCUUAAUUGGUGAAUAGGUGUCCUUCCUCGGCUAUAGGUUUUAAAACUCCUAUGGAAAUGUGGUUAGGUUGUCUUGUGUUUAUAGUAACUUGAGGACUUUCGUAUGCAUUGCCUAUGCUCACCAAAAUGAGGGAAAACUAGAGCCUCGAGCUAGGAAGUGUAUAUUUGUUGGUUAUUCGGAUGCUUGGUGUCCUACCACUAAGAAGUGUUUUAUAAGCAGGAAUGCGGUCUUCAGAGAGUGAAUUUUUGAAGAAUGACAGAAAAGCUUUCAUUAACAAAGAAAAUGGAGAAAUCAAGGAUAAGAUGGAGUUAAAAGAUAAAAUUGAUAAACCUGAGUUUGAAAUAAAACCACAACAUGACAUUCCAUUGGAAAAUUUUCAAUUGACCAGGGAUAGAGCAAGGUGUAUUCCAUGGUCUGCACAAGACCUGACAUAGCUUAUGGUGUGAGUGUGCUUAGCCAUUAUAUGAUUAAUCCUAGAUAGGAUCAUUGGGAUGCUUUGAAAUGGAUUUUGAGGUAUCUCAAGAGUACUGCAGAUUUUGGGCUCAUAUACCAGAGAAAAUAGAUAACAAUUGGUUUGGUUGAAGGUUAUGUGGAUUCAGAUUAUGCCAAGGACUUGGAUGAGAGAAGAUUAAUAACAGGUUAUUUGUUUAUAGUGUGUGGAUGCAUAGUAAGCUGGAAAUCUAUACUACAAAAUAUUGUGGCUCUCUCUACCACCGAAGUUGAAUAUGUAGCUAUUGUUGAAGCCACUAAAGAAGCUUUGUGAUUAAAAGAUCUAGUAUCUGAAUUAGGAAUGAAUUAGAGAAGUGUAACGGUUUUCUGUGAUAGCCAAAGUGCUAUUUGUUUGACAAAGAACCAAGGUUUCCAUGAGAAGCUGGCUAAAUUCACAGGGGAUAUCAUGGAAUAAGGAUUGGUAAAUGUAACCAAGGAUAAUCCAGUUGAUAUGCUUACAAAACCAAUUCUAAAGGUCAAAUUUAAGUAAUGUUUGUACUUGAUAAAUGUUGGAGUUGUCUGAUGGUAACAACGAACGCACAUGGGAAUCAAUCUAGGCUAAGCUUGGUUUCUUAUUUUGGUGCCAAGGUGGAGAUUGUUGUGAUGUGGCACAAAAAUAAAAUACACAUGCCCAACACAUGAGAUAGCUUUGCUGUGUGUGUGCCUUCUUUGAAUUAUAUUCUUUAUUGUGUUUCCAGCUGGAAGGUUGUUCAAAAGGUUCUUAUUUAGUGUGAUGUAAGUGUAAAAAAAAAAUACGGUUUCAUAGCUAGGUUUUCUAGUGCUCUGUUUUAAUUCAAAAAUUGGGGGAUGCAUGUACUCUCAUUUAUGUGUUGUUGCAUAAUUUUUAAAAUAAAAAAUAAAAAAGAAAGAAAAAAACACUGUCCAGCCCCUUUCUAAAAUCCAAAUAAUAAUAAACUAUUGCUUCGAGUCUUCUAUGGAGCAAACGAAGGGAAUUAAUUCACAAUCCCAUAUAACUGCAACUGCGUUCCACUUCAUUAAAUAACAUAGAAGGAUACAUACGGAUGGGAUCAACAUUCAACAGACAAUGGGCUCGAAUUAAUUUCACUAAGAAAGAGUAAUUAAAGAGAUAAAACAUAAAGGGAAAAGGGAGCAAGCACAACUACACAAAGGAAAAGGCAACACCCGCAAUCAAUUCAAAGUUUUACUAAGUUCGGUAAAAUUUUUGGCAACCUCUAUUUUGGUGUGGAUCACAUUUCGGCGCAGGUGAUGGUGGAGGGAGGUUGUCAGCAUAGGCAGUACCCUUAGGACCAGACACAGAUGGACUAUCAGGAUUUUCAGAGCCCGGAGUUACAAAAGAGAUAGGCGCAAGCAUUCUGCUGAUUUCCGAGCCCAUGAAGAGGUCGAAAUCAAGGUCCAUCGUGAGGCAUUCAUCGACGGAGCCAUUGCACCAGGAGGUGGUGCUGUUGACCUUCAGGGAAGCUGCUCCACAACAAUUUAUGUUGAGGAGUAUCAUAACGAGGAAUGCUACACAAAAACCUCUCUUCCUGUCAACUCCCAUUCUUACUCUCUGCUCUUCUUUCCUCACAACUCAACCCCCCUCAGGAAUUCUUGCAUACAACACUCUCUGCGCCAUCAC